rnacentral:rRNA from 1 species
GAUAAACGCUGGCGGCGCACAUAAGACAUGCAAGUCGAACGGACUUAACCCAUUCUUCACGAUUGGGAGCGGUUAGUGGCGGACUGGUGAGUAACGCGUGAGCAACCUGCCUAUUAGAGGGGAAUAACAAUGAGAAAUCAUUGCUAAUACCGCAUAUGCUUACAGCAACACAUGUUGCAGUGAGGAAAGGAGCAAUCCGCUAAUAGAUGGGCUUGCGUCUGAUUAGCUAGUUGGUGGGGUAACGGCCUACCAAGGCGACGAUCAGUAGCCGGACUGAGAGGUUGAACGGCCGCAUUGGGACUGAGAUACGGCCCAGACUCCUACGGGAGGCAGCAGUCGGGAAUAUUGCGCAAUGGAGGAAACUCUGACGCAGUGACGCCGCGUAUAGGAAGAAGGUUUUCGGAUUGUAAACUAUUGUCAUUAGGGAAGAUAAAAGACUGUACCUAAGGAGGAAGCCCCGGCUAACCGUAUGUGCCAGCAGCCGACGG